GGGACUGAAAGAGCCCUUUUAGGUGAAGCAAUGGUUCAAUUGCACUUCUUCUAAUCUAGUCUGCUGAAUUCAGAGCUCAGAUAAUGUUAACUCUGUUUCUCUUAAUAUUUUGAGCCUUGUGGUGAACUACAUAUACCUGUCUGGAUAUGCCCCCUGCUGACUGCUCCUGUGGCUCCUCCCACAGACCCCGGUAUAAAGGCGAUCAAGGCCUGAGCCCGGCCCUCAGUCUCCAGUACAUUGUAUGAUGGACACUCACUCCUGGUUCCUUCUUCCAGUCAAUAAAAGCCGAUAUCUCGCCUUACGUCUCAGUGUGAGUUAUUGAUGGUGCAUCAAUUUUAUUGACUGGAAGUUUUAAAACAUGGAAAGCGUUUUGCGUCCGGACCGGUUGGAUUUGGACCCCCAAGACCCUGACGCAGCUCUCGCUUUUGAACACUGGCUUGCAUGCUUCCAAUCGUACUUGGAGGAGGUUCGUGCAACUGAACCCGCCGUGAUGCACAGAAUUCUCCUCUCGAGGGUCACCCCAAAAGUUUACGCCAUUAUCCGGGACCUGCCGACCUACGAUGGGGCACUGGACGCCCUCAAAAGACAGUACCUGCGGCCGGUGAACACCGUCUACGCAAGACAUCACUUAGCUACCCGACGACAACGGCCUGGCGAAUCGUGCGCUGAGUUUCUCCGAGCACUACAGACACUCGUCCGAGCUUGUGACUGCAAGACGCUCACGGCAGAACAGCAUGCGGAGCUGCUGGUGCGAGACGCCUUUGUGAUGGGACUGAGAACUUCGUGAGAUCCAGUACAGGAUCAACAGAGGCUUGAUGAGAGCAAGAAAAAGAGCCGCUGAAGUUGCUCACUGAGUCUGGCAGCAUCUGUAGAGGGAAAUGGACAAUGCUUCAGAUCUCUUAAUGGGAAAUUAUAUCUCUGCGUGGUGACAGAAAGAAUCACACAAAGUGGAUCACAUGGGUUUCUUCCCUCAUCCAUUGUGCAGACAUACAGAACCAACACGCAUAUCUCUGGAAUGUGGGAGGAAAGCCAUGCCGUUAGAGGGAAGAUGUGCAAACCACAAAGGUAGCACCCGACAUCAGGACGUCAGGCAGAAGCUCUACUAUUUCCUCUUUCCUUCUGUUCUUCCCAACAACCAUUCUGGUAACGUCCUUUGUGAUGUUGAGAGAGUUGAGAGUUAUUUUUAAAUCAGUUUCCCAAAUUCUGGAAUGGACUUUAUGCUAAUAGCAUCUUUUGUGGGAACAGUAUAUAUGCUCUGGAAGAGAUCAUGGUUUCAAGUAAAAAGAGGACUACUUAUGUUUAUGCCCAACACCUUCGACCUCUAAAUGCAAAAAGAAACUGCAGAAUCUGAAAUAAAAACAUAAAAUCUGGAAAUACGUCAUCUAUGGAGAGAAAAACAGAGUUAACGUUUAAAGCUGAUCGCCUUUCUGGCAUUGCAUUUACUCUUACUUAAUGAUUUUUAGAUCUCCAAGUUUCCUCUGAAAACAAUUUAAACAUUUUCUGGCUCAUACUUUAAAGAAAAACAAGGCAAUAUAAAAUGUCUCACUAAUUAGUAAAUGCUAUCUAAAAUACAGUAGCAAUGUUUAUUCACUAUAAUUUACUGAAUUUUCAUUCUAUGAAUAAAGAAUCAGCAAAUUACAAUGAUUAAAUAGAUUGUAUGCCAUUAUAAUUUACUCACAUUUCAAGCAAGCUAAUUAUUGACAUUCCUAUUGAGUGUUGCAUUCAGGGUAAUGAGUGCAUCUACCCACUCCACUGAUUUUACAGUGCAGAAAAAGCAGACCAGAACAAAGUACUUGAAGAAUCUACACCAGGGGUGGGCAAACUUUUUGACUUGAGGGCCACAAAGGGUUCUGAAAUUUGACAGGGGGGCCGGACCAGGAGCAGAUGGACGGAGUGUUUUGGUAAUACACCUCAUAAGAGAAAAUAAAAUAUCAUGGGAUAUGUAGAAAACACGUGCUUUAAUUUCAAUUGAAAAUGAACAAAUGCAUUACAACAAAAUAUCUGUCUUUGAAGUCCCAUGGUAUUUAGCUAUUUAUUGAAAUGACUUUUAAAACACUGAAAAUUAAAUGAAUAAAAUACAGCUUUUUUAAAUAGUAACAGUUAUUAUUUUAAAGCACUGAAAAUUCUGUUAUCCUUCAAGAUACUAUCAUCAUCACUCUCCUCUUGACUGUCUUUAUUUCAAAAACGGUAGGAGAUGCAGGUCUACUUGUCCUGCUCCUCCUUAUUCAAUUGUCCCCUGUGCCAAAACUCAACAACGACCCGCACAAUGACAGAACAGUGAGAGCGCGCCAGUAUGCGGAGCGCAUUAUUUGAUCUGGAGCGCAUUUUUUAUUAUGAGAACGUACUUGCACCUGCGCACUACUCAUGUCCAUCACUUAACAGAAAUGACAUGUAACAUGUAAGGUUUAUUGAAAAAAAUAUUUUCAAAUGCAUUUUUUACAUAACACAACGAAGAAACUUAUUUUUAAUUUCAGUGGGAACAGUGUUGUUGGUCUCCCUUUUUAGCCAGCGCAUCAAAGUCUGGAUUUAGUUUUGUUGUGGCAAUUUUCAGGAUGGAUCUGAGGUGUUGGUCAGUUAACUUGGAUCUGUGGCUGGCUUUGUUGAUGUUCAUGACGCUGAACGCCUGUUCACACAAAUAGGUCGAGCCGAACAAAGAGUAAAGUGCAAAUGUGGAGUAAUACGCUGCACCUCAACAAAGGUCAAUGUGUAGCGGUGUGCUACAUGCAGCGCUAAAAUUACGUCACGGAGUUGGUAACUGCAGUCGAAGAAAAAAAACUUUAUUCGAAAUCCCCAGCCUCACUUUUAAGCCUCCCUCAACCUGCCCCCCUCCUGCGCAGAGGCUCCAAAGCUCUGUGCUCGCAAAUCCCUGCAGGCUAUCUCCCUUAGCCGGAACGCUGGCUAAUUGUGAGCCGGUUCGGAUGUGCCAGUAAAUGGGUCGCCACAAAUGUAUAUAGAGUGCGUCAUCUAUUGGGAAAACGCCAGAAUUGCGGGGAAAAAACGUUAACAAGGUUUAUUAAUAUAAUUUCAUCAAGUUCUGCGGGCCGGAUUAAAAAGCUUAACGGGCCGCAUAUGACCCACGUGCCGUAGUUUGCCCAUGCCUGAUCUACACAGUCUGUUUUAUUUAUAAUAAAGUGAUCAACACAGAACAUAUAAUAAAACCAGGUUUAAAAAAAAAACUAUACCUUUUGCAAAUUCGCACAAUGCCUUUAGUCAUACACCUAGUCAGGAAAUGAAACAUCAGAAACUGCAGUAGGAAAUAAAAAUAUUUUAAUUGCACACAAGAAAUGUUCUUCUUAACAAUCAUAAUCUUGAGUUUUUUGGGUAAAUAUUAAAUUUCUCAUUAAUUUGGUAAAGAAAGUGGAUUCCUCUUUUGCAGACAGCAAAUCAAUGCCAGGUUAAUUGUCAAUACUAAAUAUGAACAUGAUUGCUGGAUCUUCAAUUGGGGAAUCAGAGAGGGCAGAUGACAUCAGCGUCUAGUGGGGAACACUUUGGAUCUAGUGGAUAUAAUUCCAUUAGUUUCAAGAUAAUUCUGGAGAAGGAUAGUAAUGGUUCUUGUGUUGAGAUUCUAAAUUGGAGAAAGUCCAAUUUUGAAAGCAUCAGAAAGGAUCUGGCAUAUACAGUAGCGCCAAUAUCUCCGAACCUCCAUCCAAUUAAUUAAGGUUAAUAUAAGUAAGGUUUAGGAAAAGACAAUUCAACUCAUGUGAAAAUGUUGAAUAAAAGGUCUCCAAGUUCCUUCAAAUUUAACUGAAGGAUCAAAAACCACACUUCUAAUUUUUUCUAAACUCAAACAAGAAAUAGUUUGAGAAAACCACUGAAAUACAGUUGGAGGAUUAAUUUCUUUCCAAUUCAAUAAAAUAGAUCUUCUAGCCAUUAAUGUAACAAAUACAAUCAUUCGUUGAGAUGAAGCGGAUAAACGAUUAUUAUCCGUCAUUGGUAAACCGAAAAUUGCAGUAAGAGGAUGCAGUUGAAAAUUAAUAUUUAAAACUCUUGAAAUUGGAUGGAGGUUCGGAGUUAUUGACGCUACUGUAUAUGUACUUAAUAUUAUUCAAUGGCCAAUGUUGGUUAGCGUUUUUUUUUGUUUUUUUUCUCUCUUUUUUUGGGGGGUUUUUCUUUUUUUUCUCUUUUUACUUCUUUGUUCAUUAAUGUUCUGAGUUUGAGAGGUUAUAUAUUUUUACUAUUACAUAUCUGAAUGUCUAUUUAAACUAUUAAUUAUGUACUCUCAAACAUUUUGUAUUCAUGUUUCAUUUAUGUUUGUUUAAAACUAAUAAAAAG